UCCAGGCCCACCAUGGGGUCUCUACUCCACAGGGUCCAGGCCCACCAUGAGAUCUCUACUCCACAGGGUCCAGGCCUACCAUGAGGUCUCUACUCCACAGGGUCCAGGCCUACCAUGAAGUCUCUACUCCACAGGGUCCAGGCCCACCAUGAGGUCUCUACUCCACAGGGUUCAGGCCCACCAUGAGGUCUCUACUCCACAGGGUCCAGGCCCACCAUGAGGUCUCUACUCCACAGGGUCCAGGUCCACUCCACAGGGUCCAGGCCCACCAUGGGGUCUCUACUCCACAGGGUCCAGGCCCACCAUGAGAUCUCUACUCCACAGGGUCCAGGCCUACCAUGAAGUCUCUACUCCACAGGGUCCAGGCCCACCAUGAGGUCUCUACUCCACAGGGUUCAGGCCCACCAUGAGGUCUCUACUCCAAAGGGUUCAGGUCUCUACUCCACAGGGUUCAGGCCCACCAUGAGGUCUCUACUCCACAGGGUCCAGGCCCACCAUGAGGUCUCUACUCCACAGGGUCUAGGCCCACCAUGAGGUCUCUACUCCACAGGAUCCAGGCCCACCAUGAGGUCUCUACUCCACAGGGUUCAGGCCCACCAUGAGGUCUCUACCCCACAGGGUCCAGGUCCACCAUGAGGUCUCUACUCCACAGGGUCCAGGUCCACCAUGAGGUCUCUACUCCACAGGGUUCAGGCCCACCAUGAGGUGUCUACUCCACAGGGUCCAGGCCCACCAUGAGAUCUCUACUCCACAGGGUCCAGGCCUACCAUGAGGUCUCUACUCCACAGGGUCCAGGCCCACCAUGAGGUCUCUACUCCACAGGGUUCAGGCCCACCAUGAGGUCUCUACUCCACAGGGUCCAGGCCCACCAUGAGGUCUCUAAUCCACAGGGUUCAGGUCCACCAUGAGGUCUCUUUUCCACAGGGUCCAGGCUCACCAUGAGUUCUCUACUCCACAGGGUUCAGGCCCACCAUGAGGUCUCUACUCCACAGGGUCCAGGCCCACCAUGAGG
ensembl:lncRNA